UCGCAUCAAUGGAUUAGGUUGCAUCAUGAAUACGGCAGCGGCCAUCUUAGGGUGAGGCCCUUUGAAUUGCUAACGCCUCGUAAAUGUUGCA
rnacentral:rRNA from 1 species